rnacentral:rRNA from 1 species
GACAGAGGGUGCAAACGUUGUUCGGAAUUACUGGGCGUAAAGCGCGUGUAGGCGGCAACGCAAGUCGGGUGUGAAAUCCCACGGCUCAACCGUGGAAGUGCACUCGAAACUGCGUAGCUAGAGUCCUGGAGAGGAAGGUGGAAUGCUUGGUGUAGAGGUGAAAUUCGUAGAUAUCAAGCGGAACACCGGUGGCGAAGGCGGCCUUCUGGACAGUGACUGACGCUGAGACGCGAAAGCGUGGGGGAGCAAACAGG